AGCAGCCGCGGUAAUUCCAGCUCCAAUAGCGUAUAUUAAAGUUGUUGCAGUUAAAAAGCUCGUAGUUGAAUUUCGGGAUCAGUACGCUGGUCGUGCCUUCGGUAUGUACUGGUGUUACUGGUUCCUACCUUCUGACGAACCGUCAUGUCAUUAAUUUGGUGUGGCGGGGAAUCAGGACUGUUACUUUGAAAAAUUAGAGUGUUUAAAGCAGGCUCGCGCUUGAAUACAUUAGCAUGGAAUAAUGAAAUAGGACGUUCGAUCCUAUUUUGUUGGUUUCUAGGAUUGACGUAAUGAUUAAUAGGGAUAGUUGGGGCAUUAGUAUUCAAUUGUCAGAGGUGAAAUUCUUGGAUUUAUUGAAGACUAACUACUGCGAAAGCAUUUGCCAAGGAUGUUUUCAUUAAUACAAGAACGAAAGUUAGGGGAUCGAAGACGAUCAGAUACCGUCGUAGUCUUAACCAUAAACUAUAGCCGACUAGGGAUCGGAUGAUGUUAAUUUUAUGACUC
rnacentral:rRNA from 1 species